rnacentral:rRNA from 1 species
UACGUAGGGGGGCUAGCGUUGUCCGGAAUCAUUGGGCGUAAAGCGCGUGUAGGCGGUUCGGUAAGUCCGCUGUGAAAGUCGGGGGCUCAACCCUCGAAAGCCGGUGGAUACUGUCGGGCUAGAGUACGGAAGAGGCGAGUGGAAUUCCUGGUGUAGCGGUGAAAUGCGCAGAUAUCAGGAGGAACACCGGUGGCGAAGGCGGGUCUCUGGGCCGAUACUGACGCUGAGGAGCGAAAGCGUGGGGAGCGAACAGG